rnacentral:tRNA from 1 species
AGUAGAGUAGCGCAAUGGCCGACGCACCUGUCUACGAAACUGGAGAAUGCUGGUUCGAUUCCAGCCUCUACUA